AUGGCUCCCCCAGCUAGUCAUCCCAGUACUAUUUCUGGAACGAGCCACCUUUCCCCACUGAUCAGAAGUGCCUCCUUUCUCGUCUCACAGAGGCCUUGUUGCACUUGCCUCUCCUCUGGGCUUUCCACUCUGAGGAAGAGAGAUGCUUUUAAUGCAAGAUGCAGCUGUUACCCUGCUGAACUUGCCACCCUGGUCAAGUGACUUCACUUAUCCAAGCCUCAGAUGAGGAUGAUGAGAGAAUUAACCAAAAUAACAGACCUCAAGUAUCUGGCACCUGGAGCCCAGCAACUCUCUGCUCAUUGGCUCAACUGCAUUAAAAGGAGAGGAAAGGUAGCAGAAGCAGUUUCUAGAUUCAUGAUUAAACCAGCACCGAUGGCAAUAGCUAAUGGCGAUGAAGUACUUGCAACCUGCUGAGCACCAUCCCAGGAACCUGACUCCAGUGCUCUCUAAUCCCCGAAGCAGUGCCUGGGGCGCAGGACAUGAGGGUCAUCCUGUAAAAUGGGAAGGCAAUGGGGCCUGUCGCCCUUGGAAGUUCCGCCUCAUUUCCUGGCACCGGGGGAGUGAUCCCAGUGUGCCGUGGCCCAGCCCUGGAUUAGCCCCAUUAGCAAAUCAGGUGCAGAGAAGGCCCAGCCUUCCAGCAGCAGCCUCCCUGCUUCAUCACAUUCCCUCCCUCAGCGACGCCUGUAAGGGCUGGUUUCCACACCUGUCAGGGACAGGCCUUGUGGGCGCAGAUGGCUGUGGUGCCUCCCUCGGGGGCUGUGGGCCUCCAGGACGGUGUGGACAGGCCCUGAGGACAUCCGAAGGCCUCUCAAGAGAUGGUGAUGGCAAAACUCUGUACUUAAGAGUUUUCUUUUCGAAAGGAAGAAUUCCUGCCAGGCAUAAAUUUUCCCCUCUGACACUAAUGACCUUUCUGUUGUUAGAGACGAUUGUCCGCAGACAGGCAUGA
rnacentral:lncRNA from 1 species